CCGGCCCGGCCCCUGCCCCGGGGGGCCCCGCUCGGAGGGAAGGGAGAGAGCCUGGGGGGUAUCGGGGCGUGACAUGGACUCCAGCCCCUUAUGAAACCUGCCCAAUCUCCCUGCUCCUCUGCCAGGCUGAGGAAUCGCGUCCACGUUUCGCUCCAGAUCGUCCCAUCUUCCAGGAGACAGGGCAGGGAAAUGGCUGUGAUGGAGCCAGCUCAGAUGCCGGUGACCUUCGAGGAG